UCCACCUAGAAUGAGAAAAGGAAUAUAGUUGAAGGACCACCAGCUUUGUGGGAGAAUCUCAUGGUGACAUUUCCUAAAAUCAAGAAGUUUAACAACAACAAGGCAACCUUCCCGCUCUUUGAUGCUUUGGGAGAGCUUUAUGAUGGACACUUGGCUGAAGGGACUUGGAAUUGCACUUCUCUUGAGGCACCGCAAGAGGAAGAACCGAAUGAGCAACUUCAGGAUGCAGAAGAUGGACCACAAGGCUUUGAUCUGAAUGUUGUUCAUGAUGUAGAUGAUGAA